CCACGCUUGACGCACAUGCGUACUCCGGAGUGCCGGUGGGGGCGCGCCCGCUGUGUAAAAAAUGGCGGCUGCAAUACUGUUGGCGGCGGCUGGAGUCAGGCUCGGCGUGGUUGCGAGCGGCUUCCGCUCCGCAGCCCGCAGUCUGUGCAGCCAGCCCGUUUCUGUUAACGAGCGCAUCGAGAAGAAGCGCCGCGCCGCGCUGCUCGGGGGAGGCCAGCGCCGCAUCGAUGCGCAGCAUAAGCGAGGAAAGCUAACUGCCAGAGAGAGGAUCAGUCUCUUGCUGGACCCUGGAAGCUUUGUUGAGAGCGACAUGUUUGUGGAACACAGAUGUGCUGAUUUUGGAAUGGCUGCUGAUAAGAAUAAGUUUCCUGGAGACAGUGUGGUCACUGGCAGGGGCCGAAUCAAUGGAAGAUUGGUUUAUGUCUUCAGUCAGGAUUUUACAGUUUUUGGAGGCAGUCUGUCAGGGGCACAUGCCCAAAAAAUCUGCAAAAUCAUGGACCAGGCCAUGACCGUGGGCGCUCCAGUGAUUGGACUGAAUGACUCUGGGGGUGCACGUAUUCAAGAAGGCGUGGAGUCCCUGGCUGGCUAUGCAGACAUCUUUCUGAGGAAUGUCACAGCAUCAGGAGUCAUCCCUCAGAUUUCUCUGAUCAUGGGCCCAUGUGCUGGUGGGGCUGUCUACUCUCCAGCCCUAACAGACUUCACAUUCAUGGUAAAGGACACCUCCUACUUGUUCAUCACUGGUCCUGAUGUUGUGAAGUCUGUCACCAAUGAGAAUGUUACCCAGGAGGAACUCGGUGGUGCCAGAACCCACACCACCAUGUCAGGUGUGGCCCACAGGGCUUUUGAAGAUGAUAUUGAUGCUUUGUGUAACCUUCGGGAGUUCUUCAACUACCUGCCCCUCAGCAAUCAGGACCCGGCUCCCAUCCGUGAGUGCCACGAUCCCAGUGACCGCCUGGUUCCUGAGCUUGACACAAUUGUUCCCUUGGAAUCUACCAAAGCCUACGACAUGGUGGACAUCAUACAUUCUGUUGUUGAUGAGAGAGAAUUUUUUGAGAUCAUGCCCAAUUAUGCCAAGAACAUCAUUGUUGGUUUUGCAAGAAUGAACGGGAGAACUGUUGGAAUUGUUGGCAACCAACCUAAGGUGGCUUCAGGAUGUUUGGAUAUUAAUUCAUCUGUGAAAGGAGCUCGUUUUGUUAGAUUCUGUGAUGCAUUCAAUAUUCCACUUAUCACUUUUGUUGAUGUCCCUGGUUUUCUGCCAGGCACGGCACAGGAAUACGGGGGCAUCAUCCGGCAUGGCGCCAAGCUUCUCUACGCGUUUGCUGAGGCGACCGUGCCCAAAGUCACUGUCAUCACCAGGAAGGCCUAUGGUGGUGCCUACGAUGUCAUGAGCUCCAAGCACCUCUGUGGUGACACCAACUAUGCCUGGCCCACUGCGGAGAUAGCUGUCAUGGGAGCGAAGGGCGCAGUGGAGAUCAUCUUCAAAGGGCACGAGAAUGUGGAAGCUGCUCAGGCAGAGUAUAUUGAGAAAUUUGCCAAUCCUUUUCCUGCAGCAGUGAGAGGAUUUGUGGAUGACAUCAUUCAACCUUCCUCUACACGUGCCCGAAUCUGCCAUGACCUAGAUGUCUUGGCUAGCAAGAAGGCACAACGUCCUUGGAGGAAACAUGCCAAUAUUCCAUUGUAAACAUGCCAAUAUUCCAUUGAAAGGAAUAUUAGCCAACAACUGGUUACCCCCUGGUCAUUGGUGCCAAGAGAACUCACCUGAUGAUUUAGCCUCUGCAUCUCUGCCUUUUUUGCAUGGACUUCUUAAGCCACCUAAUGAUCACAGCCGACAGAAGAUGGCCAGGCUCAUGAAGCGUAGGUCUUUUUAUGAGAGAAACUCUUGUGUUGGCCAUGUAUAAUGCAGGCAAUCUUUAAAGGGACUCUACUAGGGGUAAAACCAUGAUAUAAGCCCAGGGACUGAAGUUCAGGCAGCAGAAAGAUACAAACUAGUGGAUAGUCCUUAAUGCCUCCAAACUCAGCCUGCAACAGACUUUGUCUUGAACCACAGACUGCUUGGUCUAUCUUUCUCCAAGAGAUGAAAGAAAAUUUAAUGCACUUGUCUUAAUUUUUUCUAAAAACAAACAAAAAACUCCCUGCCAUCAUUUAACAAGCUUAGAGCAGAAAAUCAUCUUUAAGGCUUUACCUAUUAGGAACAAUAGGAUGACUACCACAAACCUGAUUUUGAAUAGUUUAUUAAAGGAAAGGUGAAGCAUCAGUUUCAAAUUGUACAAAAGGAAAAAAAAACCUCAUAUUGCAAAUGUACAAUUUACAGAAUUACUAGCAAAACCAAUCAAGGAGACACUGAAAAUACAAAAAUUUGAUUGACUUCAAACUGAAUUGGAAACCCAUUGGAGUAGAUAGUAAGCCUUUUUUUGUGGCAUGGUAGUCUACAAUUCUAAGUCAGCAUCUGUUUUCCACGAGACUGUCAAGCAAAGGAUCAAUCUGUGCAUGUGACAGGGUAUUUCCUGUUUUGCUCUCUUGCCAGAACCACAGGCAGGCAGGGCUGGUGUGGUGGCCAGUCUAGCCAUUUCUGCCCUUCACUUCCAUGAAGCCCACAUUUCUUGAAGAAAUUGAGACCCCAGCCUCCUAACUGGAGCCCAGGAAUCACUAAAUUGAUUUUUGGUGACCAACAUUUUUCAGAACUAAGUGUUGAGAAGAAUCUGUUUUGUGUUUGUUUACUAAAAGGAAGAAUAAAAUUUUGCUUUCCUGCACAAAAGAGAAUCCACUUGGGUACACAGAUUUUUUAAAAAAAUGCCUGUCAUUUUUGGUAUAAAAGGAAAGCCUCAUGCUUCUGUUGCAGCUUCUUUAAAAAACCUGCCCAGAAACAGCUGUGGAUGAAUUGUUGGGAAAUUCUGAAGCUGGCUUUAAAAAUCAGAAGGAAACUAAGUGGACUUUGAAAAAGAACAAUAGCAGCAAGUCAUAAAAGUCUAAGCAGAAUGUAACUCUAAACCAUUGAUGGCUGUCCUGAAGAUUCAUAAUUUCUUUCCCCAAAAGACUUAUUUUUAAUAUGCACAUUUAACACUGAAAUGUAGCUGUAUUUCAAGGUAAGCUUGAACUUCACCCUCUAAGCACAGACUUCUAUGUAGCACAUACUUCUAUCAUUGGUAAACGUAACUCACAAAAUCAGCGCAUUAAGGGUAAUAAGUGCAUGGGAAGUAGACACAGUAAUGUUACACGUAAAAUUACUUUUAGAUGGCAAAGGAGUUCCUCAUGAUUACCUGUUUAAGAAAAUUGAAGUCAAUGUAACUUGAAUUUAUCAGGGCAUGAAAUAAGUGAUAAAAACAGCAAACUGAUAACUUGAGAACCAUUUUUGUUUUACUGAGAAUACUUUAUUUGCUGGUAGAAGUUGCUAAAAAUGCACAGAACAAAUACCAAUAGAAAAUGUACUGUAUUUGAAUCUCCCUAUUCUAUAUAAAAUGAACGUGUACAGCAUCUGUUGGAAAAAUGGCUGUGUGGACAUUUCUUAUUUUAUGCCCCCUUAUAAAUAAAAAUAAACCUUUUUAUUCAAGAGUAUAUAAAAUCUGGGAAUCCAUAUCCACAGAGGGUGUGCGGUUUUUGGCAGAGAUGCACUGUCAGAAUUUCAUUUUAGCUUGUCAAUAUUCUGCUCCCCCACAUUUCUGUGUUCCACAAGGUCAACCAAAUCCAGUGAGCUCCAAAACACUCGUCGGCAAUUAGGAUGAGCUGCUUACUCAUAGGUUUAAUAAAAAUGGUUAGCUUUUAAAACAUAAAAAGGCAAAAUGUU